CCAGCCCAAUCCAUAUAGGGAACAAUUUUGUAAUUGCAGGUUGCAGUGAUUUGUUCUUCUGGCUUGGGGAGGAAGCGUACAGACAGCAGAGGGAGAAGAUGAUACACCGAAAAUGGAGUCUACUAACUGGUCCAGUGGCAAUCUUGGGCGGGAUCGUUGCAACGGUGGUCGUCGCCAACUUAAUCUUCGUUAAGGAUGUAAAGUUCUCUUCUCUUUUCCUUCGAUUUCCAAACCCUAGAUUUUAUAUUUGAGUUUUGGUAUCGGGGGAAUCGAAGGAUGUAUUUUCAUUUAAGAUUUCGAUUGAAAUUAUUCAUUGGAAUGAUUUGCAUUCGGUUUUAUUCGUCAUUCUUAUAUCUAAAUCGUAGGAGACAUCUAAACCUUUUGGCUAUUCGAUCGUGUCUCUGAUCGUAAUCGUAAAAAUUAGAUUUGUUUAACUUAGUUGUGAAUUAAGAAUAACACUUUUUGAAUGAUUGUGGGAGCUAUCAUUCUUUGUUAAAAUAAAGAGCGUCGCUCUCUGUUUAACUUCUGUUCAAAAAAUAUUAAAUGGAAAAACCUGUUCUGUCAUUCUUUAGAUGUUGUUAAUUAUUAGCUAGGUAGUUGAGUUUCUUUGCUGCAAUGAAAGCGCCAGUAGAGCCAGUAAGCAACGUGCACACCUGCUACACAUUUUUUACUUGAACUAAUUUCUUUAGCUGGAUUAUUUCAUAAACUGCUAGUUAUUCAAACCAAAGCUUUUUAUGCAGGGCGUAACCAUACACAUGCUAACACAUUGCGAUAUAUUUGAAAUUUGCAGGACCCAUUUCUUAAACCAAAGAAAAAGAACCAAGAUUCACCACCAUCAACCAAAUAGAACAGAAGCAAAGUGAAUUGCUUAAUGGAUGUGUUGUAAGCUUUUCAGGUGGUUUGUGUUUGUUGAUUAUUUUUCUAGCGAAACAAAUGUUUAAGCUGCAUUUUGGUACAAGGCUCUUCUUAGUUCAAUAAAGUGGAGUUCAUGAUCAAGUUUAGUAAUUUCUCUUCAUUAUGUUCACCAAAUUGCUGUUGUUAAAUCUUGAUUGAGCUACCAUGAGAGCAAGAAAAAGCAAAAUUCAGCUGUUUUUCCUUGUUCAGUAAUGAUAAUUUUUGGGGUAGAUUGCCGAGUAGGAAUACUAUGAAUUUCUGCGUCGUGUUAGCGUAUAUCCACUUUUAAUUCAUCAAGAAUGGUUAUUAAUAAUUGAUAUGGUAAAUUUUAUUCUCUUAAAAAGAAAAAUCUUAGUAUCUUCUGGGUAUAUGAUUCACUGGUAAACGUUAUUAUUAUUAUUAUGAUUGCCUUUCAAUCCUGAGAAAGACUCCAACCCCCCUUUUCAUAGGCUGGAUGUAGCUAUUUCCACUACUCCAUGAUAAGCUUGCGUUUGAAUUAACCUUCACUGCGACAGGUGAUGAGUUGUGACUACGGUUAGGUGUGAAAAAAUAUCUUUCAUUUGACCAUCAAUGCAUGUGAUUUACAUAAAGUUAACACGUAAUUUUUCUGUAUGUUUCAGGGGAAAAUAAUCUAAGGAGUAAUUUUUCCUGAAGAAAAAGGGAAAGAGGUAAAAAUAUGAUGUAUAAACAAUGGUACAAUGAAAUAAUAUGCCCCAAAGAAUCACAAUCUCUCCCUUCACAUAUGCGAACUGCCUGGUGAGACAUUGGCAG
rnacentral:lncRNA from 1 species